AGAGUUUGAUCCUGGCUCAGGAUGAACGCUGGCGGCGUGCCUAAGACAUGCAAGUCGAGCGGGUUUAGACCCGCGGCAAACGGGUGAGUAAUACCUAGGAACAUACCUCUAGUUGAGCAUAACCUACCGAAAGGUAGAGCAAUUCUCAAUGUGACCGCAAGGUUAAAGCAGCAAUGCGCUAGAGAAGUGGCCUGGGCACCAUCAGCUUGUUGGUAAGGUAAAAGCUUACCAAGGCUAUGACGGUUAGGGGCCCCGAGAGGGGAAACCUCCACACUGGAACUGAGACACGGUCCAGACUCCUACGGGAGGCAGCAGUUUGGAAUUUUGGACAAUGGGCGAAAGCCUGAUCCAGCGACGCCGCGUGGACGAUGAAGGUCUUCGGAUUGUAAAGUCCUUUUGUUAGGGAAGAAUAUUUUGACGGUACCUUACGAAUAAGAGGUUGCUAACUCUGUGCCAGCCGCCGCGGUAAUAC
rnacentral:rRNA from 1 species